GCUAAACGCGAAGAACCUUACCUACCCUUGACAUGUCUGGAAGGCUGCUGAAAGGUGGCUGUGCCCGAAAGGGAACCGGAACACAGGUGCUGCAUGGCUGUCGUCAGCUCGUGUCGUGAGAUGUUGGGUUAAGUCCCGCAACGAGCGCAACCCUUGUCCCUAGUUGCUACAUUUAGUUGAGCACUCUAAUGGGACUGCCGGUGACAAACCGGAGGAAGGUGGGGAUGACGUCAAGUCCUCAUGGCCCUUAUAGGUGGGGCUACACACGUCAUACAAUGGCUGGUACAAAGGGUUGCCAACCCGCGAGGGGGAGCUAAUCCCAUAAAGCCAGUCGUAGUCCGGAUCGCAGUCUGCAACUCGACUGCGUGAAGUCGGAAUCGCUAGUAAUCGUGGAUCAGAAUGUCACGGUGAAUACGUUCCCGGGUCUUGUACACACCG
rnacentral:rRNA from 1 species